GGCUCACCAAGGCGAUGAUACAUAGCCGACCUGAGAGGGUGAUCGGCCACAUUGGGACUGAGACACGGCCCAAACUCCUACGGGAGGCAGCAGUAGGGAAUCUUCGGCAAUGGACGAAAGUCUGACCGAGCAACGCCGCGUGAGUGAAGAAGGUUUUCGGAUCGUAAAACUCUGUUGGUAGAGAAGAACGUUGGUGAGAGUGGAAAGCUCAUCAAGUGACGGUAACUAGCCAGAAAGAAAGGACGGGCUAACUACGUGCCAACAAGCCCGCSGUUAUACGUAGGUUCCCCAAAGCGUUGUCCGGAUUUAUUGGGCGUAAAGCGAGCGCAGGUGGUUUAUUAAGUCUGGUGUAAAAGGCAGUGGCUCAACCAUUGUAUGCAUUGGAAACUGGUAGACUUGAGUGCAGGAGAGGAGAGUGGAAUUCCAUGUGUAGCGGUGAAAUGCGUAGAUAUAUGGAGGAACACCGGUGGCGAAAGCGGC
rnacentral:rRNA from 1 species